rnacentral:rRNA from 1 species
UACGUAGGGUGCGAGCGUUAAUCGGAAUUACUGGGCGUAAAGUGUGCGCAGGCGGCUUCGCAAGUCGAGUGUGAAAUCCCUGAGCUUAACUUGGGAAUUGCGCUCGAAACUACGGAGCUGGAGUGUGGCAGAGGAAGGUGGAAUUCCACGUGUAGCGGUGAAAUGCGUAGAGAUGUGGAGGAACACCGAUGGCGAAAGGCAGCCUUCUGGGCCAACACUGACGCUCAUGCACGAAAGCGUGGGGAGCAAACAGG